GAAAUGCGAUAAGUAGUGUGAAUUGCAGAAUUCAGUGAAUCAUCGAAUCUUUGAACGCACAUUGCGCCCAUUGGUAUUCCAAUGGGCAUGCCUGUUCGAGCGUCAUUUGUACCCUCAAGCUUUGCUUGGUGUUGGGCGUUUGUCUUUCGAGACUCGCCUUAAAAAGAUUGGCAGCCGGCAUACUGGUUUCGGAGCGCAGCACAAAUUGCGGUCUGUUCCUGAAUGUUGACGUCCAUGAAGCCCCCAUUAUCACUUUUGACCUCGGAUCAGGUAGGGAUACCCGCUGAACUUAA
rnacentral:misc_RNA from 2 species